UAAAGAGUGCGCGAGCGUUCAUCGGAAUUACUGGGCGUAAAGCGCACGUAGGUGGCGACGUAAGUCGGGUGUGAAAGCCCCGGGCUCAACCUGGGAAUUGCAUUCGAGACUGCAUUGCUGGAGUACGGAAGAGGAGGGCGGAAUUCCCGGUGUAGCGGUGAAAUGCGUAGAUAUCGGGAGGAGCAUCAGUGGCGAAGGCGGCCCUCUGGUCCAGUACUGACACUCAAGUGCGAAAGCGUGGGGAGCAAACAGG
rnacentral:rRNA from 1 species